UGAGAACUGAAUUCCAUGGACUGGUUCCCUCUUCAUAUCUUCAGUCCAUAGUAGUCAGUUCUCUA
rnacentral:pre_miRNA from 1 species